rnacentral:rRNA from 1 species
UAAGGAAUAUUGCUCAAUGGGAGAAAUCCUGAAGCAGCAACGCCGCGUGGAGGAUGAAGGGUCUAUGACUUGUAAACUCCUGUAAAGAAGGAAAAAAUUCCCAUUAGAUGGGAGAUGAUGGUACUUCUGGAGUAAGCCCCGGCUAACUACGUGCCAGCAGCCGCGGUAAUACGUAGGGGGCAAGCGUUGUCCGGAUUUACUGGGUGUAAAGGGUGCUCAGGCGGAUUUGUAAGUCAGAGGUGAAAUCUUACAGCUUAACUGUGAAACUGCCUUUGAUACUGCAAGCCUAGAGUAUGGAAGAGAGUGAUGGAAUAUCUGGUGUAGCAGUGAAAUGCGUAGAUAUCAGAUAGAACACCAAUGGCGAAGGCAGUCACUUGGUCCAUUACUGACGCUAACGCACGAAAGCGUGGGUAGC